rnacentral:misc_RNA from 1 species
GGCUGUUUUCAUGACUCAAAUCCAAGACCCUCCCCAGUCACAAACAGGCAGCCAUACUGUUGCACCAAAAUUGCGCCCAACCUAGUUAAUCCUCCGACUAAAUUCAAGGGCGUCAGACCAUAUAAGUUCAGGCAUUUGGCAACAGAAUGGUUUUGACAGAGAAAAGGCUCUUCUCCUCUGUUCUGUCAUAAUAAUCAAAUAUUUUAUACUUUCUUUCAUCAUAUAAAUAUUCAUUUCAGGCGAGGGAUGCCUGAAGCACCUGUGGUCAAUUAUGGGCAAUCAAGGGCCAUAUCUGAACUAGCUGCUUCGAUAUUGUCUCAGAUUCAAUAGUGACUAUAUUAAAAUCCAGAGUCUGCAUAUU